AGCAAUAGGGAGUAAAGAGAGUAAUCUACAAACUACUUCUUAGUUUAUGAGAAAAUAGUGUGCAAGUAAUAUUAUUGUGAGUUGCAAGAAAUAAAAGAGUGUUGAGUAUUAGUCUUUUGAUAGUAUCAAGUUUUCAUCAAUAUUAUUGUAUUACUUAUUCGGGUAUCAUAUUUACCCAUUUUAAUAUUUGGCGUCGUUGUCACUUUCUUCCUAUUGCUAUUUAGUUUGGACAUUAUCCUGGGUGUGAUUGUCAUUUUGUCUAACAACGUGGUAUCAAAGCCAUGACAAAUAAUUGUCCGUUGUCCUUUCAAUACCCCCAUCUCACAAGAGAAAAUUAUGAAAAUUAAUGUCUACGAAUGAAAGCUAUUCUUGACCCACAAAUGAGGAAACUUUGCCCUCAAAUGAAAAGGAGGUCUUGUUAAAGACAAGAAAGAAAAAUCAAUAGGCCCUCACUCUUAUCCAUCAUUGUUUGGAUGAUGACAUGUUUGAGAAGGUGGCUGAUACAACCACCUCAAAAAACGCGUGGGAUAUUCUACAAAAUUCUCUUCAAGGAGUUGAUAAAGUAAAGAAGAUUAAACUUCAAACUCUAAGGGCUGAGUUUGAAGUUUUAAAUGAAAGAAUCCGAAUCCAUUUCGGAGUUUUGUUCAAGAUUGAUGAUUGUUGUAAAACAACUAAGAAGAUAUGGGGAGGAAGUAGAUGAUGUGUGUGAGGUAGAAAAGAUCCUUCGUUCUUUAACACCAAAAUUUGAUUAUGUGGUGUGUGCUAUUGAGGAGUCUAAAGAUCUAAACUCUAUGAAGGUAGAACAUUUGGAAGGUUCUUUACUAGCCCAUGAAGAGAAAAUGAAAAGGAGAAAAGAAGAGUCACUAGAGCAACUUCUUAAAACUCAUGCAUCCUUUAAAGGUUUUGAAGGUGAGAAAAGUUACAAAGGAAAUGGACAAUGGCGAGGCAUGGAGGCUGUGGAGGUCGUGGAAGAGGAAGAAAUUAUACCAAUUAUUUCAACAGUGAAGAUAAAGUUCACUAGUCAUUCAGAUGUCGUGAUCGUGGUCAACGAGGAGACAGAGGACGUGGAGCCUACCAAGGUACAAAUGAAAUGAGGUAUGACAAAUCUAAAAUUGAGUGUUAUAAAUGUCAUAAAAUGGGACAUUACUCUUGGAAAUGUCGUAGUAAUGUUGAAGAGAAAGUAAAUCUUGUUGACAACAACAAAAGAUGAAGAUGACUCAACACUGUUAUUAAUACUCAAAGAAGAAAAUAAAGAUGAUUGCAGCUCAUGGUAUCUUGACAAUGGAGCAAGCAAUCAUAUGUAUGGCUAUAAAUAUAAAUUUGUGGAGAUAAAAAAGACCGUGAAAGGUAAUGUGUCUUUUGGAGAUACCUCAAAGAUCCAAAUUGAAAGGAUAGGUGUUUGAAGGCUAAUGAGCAAGAUGACUCAUGGUGUUGGCAUAUGAGAGUUGGACACUUGAACUUUGAAGCGCUCAAGUCAAUUGGAGACAGGAACAUGGUUAAUGGAAUACCGUCAAUAAACCAUCCAAAUCAAUUGUGUGAAGCUUGUCUUCUUGAAAAGCAUGCAAGGAGGAGUUUUCCAAAGGAGUCUAUAUCAAGAACAAGUAAGCCACUCCAACUUGUACACACCAAUGUGUGUGGUCCGAUCGAUCCACCUUCUUUUGGUAAAAGAAAAUACUUUUUGCUUUUUAUUGAUGAUUUCAGUAGAAAAACUUGGGUAUACUUCUUGAAGAAAAAAUCUGAAGUUUUUGUUGCCUUUAAAAAUUUCAAAGCACUUGUAAAAAAAGAAAGUGGCUAUGAAAUAAAAGCAUUAAGGUCUGAUAGAGGUGGCAAAUUCACUUCAAAAGAAUUUAAUGACUUUUGUCAAUAUCAUGAAAUUCGUUGCCCUCUAACAGUACAUUACUCGCCACAAAAAAAUAGAAUUGCAGAAAGAAAGAAUAGAACAAUUCUUAAUAGGACUAGAUGUAUGUUGAAAGAAAAAUAUUUACCAAAAUAAUUUUGGGCCGAGACUGUUUCUUGUGCAAUUUAUUUGAGCAACAGGUCUCCAACAAGAAAUGUACGAGAAAACACCUCAAGAGACAUGGAGUGGAAGAAAUUCAAGUGUUAAGCACUUGAGAAUCUUUGGGAUCAUAGCCUAUGCUCAUGUUCCACAUCAAGGGAGAGCUAAAAUUGACGAUCGUGUUAGGAUCGAAUUCACGUACACACACUAGAUGAAUGAAGAACACAAGAACUUUCAAGAGAAAGAGAUGAGAGAUCUAGAGAGAGAAAGAGAAAACCCAAUAUUUCGUGGUAACACCCCGUAAGUAAACUUCCACGGCGGUAAGGUAUAUUUAUAUUAAUAAAUCAGAGUAUUUUUUGUUAAAGAGAAUAAAUAGUACAACCUAAAAUUUAGGGUUUAGGGUUAAACCGCGUAAACAGUUACACAUUGUAUAAUCCAAUUAUGUGUUUGUUGGUUAUGAGGAAGUUCAAAAGGCUACACAUUGUAUAAUCCAAACAAUAACAAGGUGAUGGUGAGUCGUGAUGUUGAAUUUGAUGAAGAAGCAUCAUGGAACUGGGAGGCUCCGGAAGCAAAAACAUAUGAUUUUCUUCCAUACUUCGGAGAUGAAGAAGAAUAGGAGACCAUGGCACAGGAUGCAACCCCGCCUCCUUCACCAAGAAAUGUUGCAUAUCCAUCUUCUCAAGAGAGUUCAAGUGAAAGAUCACAUAGGAUGAGAGGCAUCCAAGAAAUCUAUGAUGACACAAAAGAAAUUACUAAUUUUGAUUUUUGGUGUUGUCUCUUUGUUGAUAGUGAACCAAUGAAUUUUGAUGAAGUUGUUACUGACAAAAGGGACAAGCCACGGAGAAGGAGAUCCAGUCAAUAGAAAAGAACAACACUUGGGAGUUGACAACUUUUCCCAAGGACAAUCGAGCAAUUAGAGUCUAAUGUGUUAUUUCUUGGAGUUCAAAGAAACAAUCAAGUGUUACUCUCUCGACUUGUGAAGUUGAAUAUGUGGCAGCGAUAUUAUGUACGUGUCAUGCUAUUUGGUUGAGAAGAUUGUUGAAGUAACUCAAUUUUCCAUUAAUUGAAGCCACAAUGAUUCCCAUAACUUAGAACCAAGGACAUCAUAAAUAAAUUUUAAGCCUUAAGUAUAGAUAAAGCUGAUGAUUUGGUUCCGCAACGUAAUUUCUUGUUUCUUAUCACAAACUUCAUUCUUAUUCUUAUAAAUGAUACUUUCUUGAUGUGUUA